rnacentral:rRNA from 1 species
GGACGGGUGAGUAAUGCCUAGGAAAUUGCCCUGAUGUGGGGGAUAACCAUUGGAAACGAUGGCUAAUACCGCAUAAUGCCUACGGGCCAAAGAGGGGGACCUUCGGGCCUCUCGCGUCAGGAUAUGCCUAGGUGGGAUUAGCUAGUUGGUGAGGUAAUGGCUCACCAAGGCGACGAUCCCUAGCUGGUCUGAGAGGAUGAUCAGCCACACUGGAACUGAGACACGGUCCAGACUCCUACGGGAGGCAGCAGUGGGGAAUAUUGCACAAUGGGCGCAAGCCUGAUGCAGCCAUGCCGCGUGUGUGAAGAAGGCCUUCGGGUUGUAAAGCACUUUCAGUCGUGAGGAAGGUGGUAGUGUUAAUAGCACUAUCAUUUGACGUUAGCGACAGAAGAAGCACCGGCUAACUCCGUGCCAGCAGCCGCGGUAAUACGGAGGGUGCGAGCGUUAAUCGGAAUUACUGGGCGUAAAGCGCAUGCAGGUGGUUUGUUAAGUCAGAUGUGAAAGCCCGGGGCUCAACCUCGGAAUAGCAUUUGAAACUGGCAGACUAGAGUACUGUAGAGGGGGGUAGAAUUUCAGGUGUAGCGGUGAAAUGCGUAGAGAUCUGAAGGAAUACCGGUGGCGAAGGCGGCCCCCUGGACAGAUACUGACACUCAGAUGCGAAAGCGUGGGGAGCAAACAGGAUUAGAUACCCUGGUAGUCCACGCCGUAAACGAUGUCUACUUGGAGGUUGUGGCCUUGAGCCGUGGCUUUCGGAGCUAACGCGUUAAGUAGACCGCCUGGGGAGUACGGUCGCAAGAUUAAAACUCAAAUGAAUUGACGGGGGCCCGCACAAGCGGUGGAGCAUGUGGUUUAAUUCGAUGCAACGCGAAGAACCUUACCUACUCUUGACAUCCAGAGAACUUUCCAGAGAUGGAUUGGUGCCUUCGGGAACUCUGAGACAGGUGCUGCAUGGCUGUCGUCAGCUCGUGUUGUGAAAUGUUGGGUUAAGUCCCGCAACGAGCGCAACCCUUAUCCUUGUUUGCCAGCGAGUAAUGUCGGGAACUCCAGGGAGACUGCCGGUGAUAAACCGGAGGAAGGUGGGGACGACGUCAAGUCAUCAUGGCCCUUACGAGUAGGGCUACACACGUGCUACAAUGGCGCAUACAGAGGGCAGCAAGCUAGCGAUAGUGAGCGAAUCCCAAAAAGUGCGUCGUAGUCCGGAUUGGAGUCUGCAACUCGACUCCAUGAAGUCGGAAUCGCUAGUAAUCGUGGAUCAGAAUGCCACGGUGAAUACGUUCCCGGGCCUUGUACACACCGC